GUAUUGUAGAGCCAUCUUUGUCCUGCAUCCCGGAACACGGUGAAAUUCCGUGGCGGUCCCGCCGCUGUAAUCGGGGACACGGACCACAGGGGCGUCCGAGCCCCAGCCACUGGCGAUAAGCCGGGAAGGCGUGGUUUCGUGGCUGAUCCGAGAGCCAGAAGACCUGCACGGACAUGGUUGAACGA
rnacentral:ncRNA from 1 species